rnacentral:snoRNA from 1 species
CAAGCACCAAAACAAGAAAAAGGCUCCUGGUGGUAACAGUGGCUCAAACAGCGGUGCGGACAGCAAACAAACCUUGUCGCCUUUGGGGGACUGUGCCAUGCCCCUCAGAGUGAAUGUGGAGGUUGUAGAGCC